UACGUAGGGGGCUAGCGUUGUCCGGAUUUAUUGGGCGUAAAGAGCGCGUAGGCGGCCGAGUAAGUCCGACGUGAAAUCUGGAGGCUCAACCUCCAGCGGUCGUUGGAAACUACUCGGCUAGAGUCCGGAAGAGGAGAGUGGAAUUCCUGGUGUAGCGGUGAAAUGCGCAGAUAUCGGGAGGAACACCAGUGGCGAAGGCGACUACCUGGCCUGUUCUUGACGCUGAGGCGCGAAAGCUAGGGGAGCAAACGGG
rnacentral:rRNA from 1 species